CCCUUAGAUGUCCUGGGCUGCACGCGCGCUACACUGGAAGUUACAGAUUGAGAUACUACCUUGUCCGAAAUGGUCCGGGUGAUCGCCUAAAAGCUUGUCAUAAUUGGAAUGGAUUAUUGUAACUAGUAAUCCUGAACGAGGAAUUCCUAGUAAGUCCCAGUCAACAGCUGGUACUGAUUACGUCCCUGCCCUUUGUACACACCGCCCGUCGCUACUACUGAUUGGACGUUUAAGCAAGAUUUUUAAACACUGACAGUGUGUAGUUCACGCUAUACUACAGUGAGAAGAAGAAGAUCGAGCUUACUUGUCUAGAGGAAGUAAAAGUCGUAACA
rnacentral:rRNA from 1 species